UACGUAGGGUGCAAGCGUUAAUCGGAAUUACUGGGCGUAAAGCGUGCGCAGGCGGUUGUGCAAGACAGAUGUGAAAUCCCCGGGCUUAACCUGGGAACUGCAUUUGUGACUGCACGGCUAGAGUGUGUCAGAGGGGGGUAGAAUUCCACGUGUGAGCAGUGAAAUGCGUAGAUAUGUGGAGGAAUACCGAUGGCGAAGGCAGCCCCCCUGGGAAUAACAC
rnacentral:rRNA from 1 species